rnacentral:rRNA from 1 species
GUGCCAGCAGCCGCGGUAAUACGUAGGUGGCAAGCGUUAUCCGGAAUUACUGGGCGUAAAGCGUGCGCAGGCGGUUAUAUAAGGCAGUUGCGAAAUCCCCGGGCUUAACCUGGGAAUGGCGCUUGUGACUGCACGACUGGAGUGCGGCAGAGGGGGAUGGAAUUCCGCGUGUAGCAGUGAAAUGCGUAGAUAUGCGGAGGAACACCGAUGGCGAAGGCAGUCCCCUGGGCCUGCACUGACGCUCAUGCACGAAAGCGUGGGGAGCAAACAGGAUUAGAUACCCUG